rnacentral:rRNA from 1 species
AGCUCCUGGAAACGGGUGGUAAUGCCGGAUGCUCCAGUUGAUCGCAUGGUCUUCUGGGAAAGCUUUCGCGGUAUGGGAUGGGGUCGCGUCCUAUCAGCUUGACGGCGGGGUAACGGCCCACCAUGGCUUCGACGGGUAGCCGGCCUGAGAGGGCGACCGGCCACAUUGGGACUGAGAUACGGCCCAGACUCCUACGGGAGGCAGCAGUGGGGAAUAUUGCACAAUGGGCGCAAGCCUGAUGCAGCGACGCCGCGUGAGGGAUGGAGGCCUUCGGGUUGUAAACCUCUUUUAUCGGGGAGCAAGCCCUUCGAGGUGAGUUUACCCGUUGAAUAAGCACCGGCUAACUACGUGCCAGCAGCCGCGGUAAUACGUAGGGUGCAAGCGUUAUCCGGAAUUAUUGGGCGUAAAGGGCUCGUAGGCGGUUCGUCGCGUCCGGUGUGAAAGUCCAUCGCUUAACGGUGGAUCCGCGCCGGGUACGGGCGGGCUUGAGUGCGGUAGGGGAGACUGGAAUUCCCGGUGUAACGGUGGAAUGUGUAGAUAUCGGGAAGAACACCAAUGGCGAAGGCAGGUCUCUGGGCCGUCACUGACGCUGAGGAGCGAAAGCGUGGGGAGCGAACAGGAUUAGAUACCCUGGUAGUCCACGCCGUAAACGGUGGAUGCUGGAUGUGGGGACCAUUCCACGGUCUCCGUGUCGGAGCCAACGCGUUAAGCAUCCCGCCUGGGGAGUACGGCCGCAAGGCUAAAACUCAAAGAAAUUGACGGGGGCCCGCACAAGCGGCGGAGCAUGCGGAUUAAUUCGAUGCAACGCGAAGAACCUUACCUGGGCUUGACAUGUUCCCGACAGCCGUAGAGAUACGGUCUCCCUUCGGGGCGGGUUCACAGGUGGUGCAUGGUCGUCGUCAGCUCGU